CACAGGAUGUGCUCUGGGUAACAUGCCAGACGGAGGCCACUGCUGUAUGACUUCCACCCAGGCCAGUUCUACUGCUACAUGGGACUAACAGUCCAGGCCUGCUGGGGCCUUCCUGAGACUUCUCUCUCUCCAUCAACCCAACUUAUAGAACAAUAGCAGAGUAUGUCUACUCAACCGACCAGAAAUAUGACCUUAGAAGAGGUUAUCGGCCUUAUGUCUGCCGCCCGCCCACCUGCCUUGCCACUAAAUCUUGCUAUAACAGCCAGGAGAGGAGAUGAAAGGGGGUGGCGAUGUCUCUACUGCCCCCCAGAGGAUGGUUCACAGACUGGUAGGGGAAAACAACAUCUUCAAGGCAACUCUUCUUCAAACGCAUCUCUUGUGAUUAUGCACAUGCCAGUAUCAUGAUAUGCUAUGGAAAUUUGCUCAUACUGAGAAAAGUGCAUGUGUUAAUUUGGGUUUUAUAGGUAUUGAAUAUAGGUUUAUCAUUAGUGAUCUAAAAAGCUCUGAAUGGAAAAUAAUUUAACAAAGCUCCAUUUCAUAAAAAUAAAAGCAAUUAAUUUAGGGACUGUUCUGUUCCUAACAACAUUAUUACUACAGUAAUUACAGUGUUACUACACAUAUUGG